CGCCCUUGCGAGAGUCAUCCCGGUUUCGUUCGCCGCCGACGUAGACCUUUGCUGAUUGGAGUCCCCAUGACCGCCCCCUAUGAGAUCAAUCCGAACAACGCUGGCACGAUCGAGAUCGCACUGUCGGGCGAGACGCUCGUCAGCUAUUCGUGUCAGAUCACCAGCCUCACCGUCGAGCCGACGCCGAACACGACGACGACUCCCGGCACCUACUGCGAAGCACCGCACGACACGCCAGGGGCAAGCUCCUGGGCCGUCGUGAUCAGCUUUCUUCAGGACUGGGGCAACUCUGCUCGCUCCGUCGCUGACGGUGUGACAACGUCGGCAAACGCCACUGUCACCUCGGCCACCGCUGCAUUCGUGGCAGGUGAUGUCGGCAAGCCGAUCUCCGGCGCAGGCAUCCCCUCUGGGUCUUACAUCGUGAGCCGCAACUCGGCCACCUCGGUCGAGAUCAGCCAGAACGCCACUGCUACGGCAACCGCCGUCUCGCUGACGAUCGGCACGCCUUCGCUGAGCGAGUUCACGUUCACCAACGAUGGUGCUCUGUGUGACUUCAACUUCACGUCGAGCAACCCGUCCACGGUGCCCUCGAUGAGCGGCGCGGUGUUCGUGACAGCAACAGCAUUCGGUGGCGACCCUGGCGCAUCGUGGGCCGUCACCACGCAGCGCUGGAACUGCAACGCCAAGCCUUCGAUCACGUCCUGAGGCUCGGCCAUGCCGAGCGGUGCCGCACAAAUGCGGACCAUUGCUCGCCAACUUG
rnacentral:misc_RNA from 1 species